AUUGAACGCUGGCGGCAUGCCUAACACAUGCAAGUCGAACGAGGCAGCAAUGCCUAGUGGCGGACGGGUGAGGAAUACGUAGGAAUUUGCCCUUAAGUGGGGGAUAACCCGGGGAAACCCGGAUUAAUACCGCAUGAACUCGAGAGAGCAAAGCAGGGGAUCGCAAGACCUUGCGCUUUUGGAGAAGCCUACGUCGGAUUAGCUAGUUGGUAGGGUAAAGGCCUACCAAGGCGACGAUCCGUAACUGGUCUGAGAGGAUGAUCAGUCACACCGGAACUGAGACACGGUCCGGACUCCUACGGGAGGCAGCAGUGGGGAAUAUUGGACAAUGGGCGCAAGCCUGAUCCAGCAAUGCCGCGUGUGUGAAGAAGGCCUUCGGUUGUAA
rnacentral:rRNA from 1 species